UGGGGAAUAUUGCACAAUGGGGGAAACCCUGAUGCAGCGACGCCGCGUGAGCGAAGGAGGCUUUCGAGUCGUAAAGCUCUGUCCUAUGAGAAGAUAAUGACGGUAUCAUAGGAGGAAGCCCUGGCUAAAUACGUGCCAGCAGCCGCGGUAAUACGUAUGGGGCGAGCGUUGUCCGGAAUUAUUGGGCGUAAAGGGUACGUAGGUGGUUUUUUAAGUCAGGUGUCAAAGCGUGGAGCUUAACUCCAUUAAGCACUUGAAACUGAAAGACUUGAGUGAAGGAGAGGAAAGUGGAAUUCCUAGUGUAGCGGUGAAAUGCGUAGAUAUUAGGAGGAAUACCGGUGGCGAAGGCGGCUUUCUGGACUGCAACUGACACUGAGGCACGAAAGCGUGGGUAGCAAACAGG
rnacentral:rRNA from 1 species